GGUUAAGCUACUAAGAGUGAAUGGUGGAUGCCUUGGCGUCCAAAGCCUAUGAAGGACGUGGUUUAGCUGCGAUAAGCUUCGGGGAGCCGCUGAGCAGGCUAUGAUCCGGAGAUCUCCCAGAUCGGGAAACCGACCAGAAAUCAACCUCUGGUAGUGCGGAAGCGGAGGGAACGCAGAGAACUGAAACAUCUCAGUACCUGCAGGAAAGAAAAGAAAACUCGACUUCCCAAGUAGCGGCGAGCGAACGGGAAUCAGCCCAAACCGGCACAGUGUCAAGGUCGCGGCCGUUGCUGCGCCGGUGUUGUGGGAUCUGCAGGACUCCCCGCAGGAGUCCAGGAAGUUACAAACCCUAUCUCUAGAAGAAUGGCAUGGGAAGGCCAGCCGUAGAGGGUGACAGCCCCGUAGUCGAAAGAGAAUAGGACUUCCGCAGCGAUCCCAAGUAUCACCAGACACGAGAAACCUGGUGUGAAUCCGGGGGGACCACCCCCCAAGGCUAAGUACUCAUGGACGACCGAUAGUGCAAUAGUAGCGCGAGCGAAAGGCGAAAAGAACCCCGGUUAGGGGAGUGAAAUAGAACCUGAAACCGUUCACUUACAGGCUGUUGGAGGCCUAUGUCCCGCAAGGGAAACGGCUGACAGCGUGCCUUUUGCAUAAUGAUGUGGCGAGUUACUCUAUCUGGCAAGGUUAAGAGUCUCAGACUCGAAGCCGAAGGGAAACCGAGUGUGAAUAGCGCGAUACCAGUCAGGUGGAGUAGACCCGAAAGCCAGCGAUCUAUCCAUGAGCAGGCUGAAGCGGAUGUAACAGUCUGUGGAGGGCCGAACAGGUAUGGGUUGAAAACCGCUCCGAUGACUUGUGGAUAGGAGUGAAAGGCUUAUCAAGCUGGCAAAUAGCUGGUUCUCCCCGAAAUAGCUUUUGGGCUAGCCUCUGGAAUUAGCGUGUGGGGGUAGAGCUACUGAAUGGGAUAUGGGCCCUAACCCGGUACCAUACCUAAUCAAACUCCGAAUACCAUGCGCCCAAUCCAGGGUGUCAGACUGCGAGCGAUAAGGUCCGUGGUCGAGAGGGAAACAACCCAGACCGCCAGCUAAGGUCCCAAAUGUGUGCUAAGUGCUGUGAAGGAAGUGGAAUCUCUAAGACAGCCAGGAUGUUGGCUUAGAAGCAGCCAUCAUUUAAAGAGUGCGUAAUAGCUCACUGGUCGAGAGGUUCUGCGCCGAAAAUGAACGGGGCUCAAGCAUACAACCGAAGCUGCGGAAUAUAGACAUCUGUCAUGGUGUCUAGAUUGGUAGGGGAGCGUUCCAGGCGAGUGAAGGCAGACGGUAACGACCUCUGGACGCCUAGGAAGUGAUUAUGCCACAAUUAGUAGCGAGAAAGCAGGUGAGAAUCCUGCUCGCCGCAAACCCAAGGGUUCCUGGGCACGGUAAAUCCGCCCAGGGUUAGUCGGACCCUAAGACGAGGCCGAAAGGCGUAGUCGAUGGACAACAGGUUAAUAUUCCUGUACCACGGCAUAAGCGUUAUCACCAAUGGGGAGACGCGGGAGGAAAAGUGAUCGCACUGACAGUGUGCGUCUAAGCUUGAGGGUGGCAUGUAGGAAAAUCCGCAUGCAGAAGCCCAGGAGUGAUGGCGAGCCGCAAGGCGAAGUCACCGGACCAACCGCCGAGAAAAUCCUCUAGGGAGUUAUUCUGGCGUCCGUACCAAAACCGACACAGGUGGGUGAGGUGAAUAUCCUAAGGCGCUCGAGAGAAAUGCUGUUAAGGAACUCGGCAAAUUAACCCCGUAACUUCGGGAAAAGGGGUGCCCUUUGAGGUUCAGACCUUUACGGUCAAAGCCCCAGGGGGCCGCAGAGAAAUGGCUGCUGCAACUGUUUACUAAAAACACAGGUCUGUGCAAAGUCAAAACGACGACGUAUACAGACUGACGCCUGCCCAAUGCUGGAAGGUUAAGAGGAGGGGUUAGCGCAAGCGAAGCUCCGAAUUGAAGCCCCAGUGAAUGGCGGCCGUAACUAUGACGGUCCUAAGGUAGCGAAAUUCCUUGUCGGGUAAGUUCCGACCCGCACGAAAGGCGUAAUGACAGUGGCUCUGUCUCAACGGCAUGCUCGGCGAACUUGUAGCUGUGGUGAAGAUGCCACGUUCCCGCGUCAAGACGGAAAGACCCCGUGAACCUUUACUAUAGCCUGAUAUUGGGGCUUGUUAUGUAGUGCGUAGGAUAGGUGGGAGACGUUGAAGCCUGGCUUUCGGGUCGGGUGGAGUCACCGGUGAAAUACCACUCUCUGCAUGAUAGGUCUCUAACACGGCGCCGUGAAUCCGGGCCGUAGACAGUGUCAGGUGGGUAGUUUGGCUGGGGCGGUCUCCUCCAAAAAGGUAACGGAGGAGCACGAUGGUGCACUCAGUGCGGUUGGCAAUCGCACGCAGAGCGUAAGGGUAUAAGUGCGCCUGACUGCAAGAGAUAUAGCCCGAGCAGGUACGAAAGUAGGUCCCAGUGAUCCGGCGGAUUCCGGAGUGGAAGGGCCGUCGCUCAUCAGAUAAAAGGUACUCCGGGGAUAACAGGCUGAUCGCGCCCAAGAGUUCAUAUCGACGGCGCGGUUUGGCACCUCGAUGUCGGCUCAUCGCAUCCUGGGGCUGAAGGAGGUCCCAAGGGUUUGGCUGUUCGCCAAUUAAAGCGGUACGCGAGCUGGGUUUAGACCGUCGUGAGACAGGUCGGUCCCUAUCUGACGUGGGUGAAGGAUGAUUGAGGAGGUUUGUCCCUAGUACGAGAGGAUUGGGACGGACGGUCCUCUGGUGCUCCAGUUAUCACGCUCGUGGUACAGCUGGGUAGCUAAGACCGGAACGGAUAAGUGCUGAAUGCAUCUAAGCGCGAAGCCCUCUCCAAAACUAGUCAUCCCUAUUAGCCCCCUAGCAGACUACUAGGUUGAUAGGCCGGCGGUGCAAGCAUGGCAACAUGUUCAGCUUACCGGUACUAAUCGGGCAAUCGGCUUAACCAC
rnacentral:rRNA from 1 species